ACUUUCACACUUGUCAUCUAUUUGAAUCCACAUAAGGCGUUAGUAAAAUCAACAGACAGACAGCAAUGAUGAAAGCCCAACUAAAGCAGAGUUUUGAAUCUCUGCACUUUCUUCUAAAGAGAGAAAAAAAAAAAGGAAGAAACAUUAGAAAUUGGAUGAAUUCAGCUAAAAACUUAGUAUUCAUUUUAGUUGUAAGGUACACAAUUAAUGUGAUAAGAGGUUGUACAUAACAUUGGAGAGAGAAAAAGUAGGAGGAUAUUAGGUUGUCCCUCUUUUCCUUUCAUGUGUCUAACCUUCCUCUCCCAUUUGUCUUCUCAGAAGGGUGCUCCGGUCCUUCUCCAGACUCCUUCCUCUCUCUACAACAUAGUACCUGUCUCAGGCAGCUUCCAAGCUCACAGCUCUUCCCUACAUCCCUCAGUCCAGUUUCGUCAGUGAGCCGAGGUGGAUGUACUGGUACACAAACAAGAGAGACAAAGCGUUGGACCUAGGCUUCUUACCCCCUCGAUGUACUGAUGCAGUAAAGCAGCAAGGCAUCACGUGGACACAAUCAGUGAAAACAAAAAGCCAGAUAUCUAGCCUGUCCAGAUUGCAUCAGCCAUCCUGUAACUCACUGCCAAAGCCAAUGUCACCAAACUUGAUGGGAAAUAUGAAAAAGAGGACAAUGUGCUCAUUCAAGUGAAGGGUUGAAAGCAAACUGUUUAAGUUUUUCUGAUCUGAAAAGGGACUUUGACAUGGUGAGUGGACCUGGAUUUUGAAUUGAUAGAAAACAUGCAUUUUCUGAUGGAAAACUCAGCUAUUCAGGAAACAGCCUGCUGUUCUGCUGGAUUCAUAAAAACAGCAAUGUACUGUGCAUGCCAGAACAAAGAUUGUCAGAAUCAUUUCUUGUCUCUUUUCUACCUUCAUAAUUUGCCUAAAGAUGCUGGUUAAGUAGGUUUGAAAGCUCCAGAUGGGCUUGGGAUUUGUGUUGGCACUGUGGGAGGGUUGCUUUGCUCCUCCAAGCUAUGUGUAGGUCUGAGAUUACCAAAUGGGUCACAGAGGAACUUUCGUUUGCCAGUGAGUGCACACUGAAGCAGGAUCUUCUGCUAAUGGAAGAUCGAACUGCUGCCUCUGCAACUAGAUUAGGAGUAAUCAUCAAUGAAAAUGUUUUGAAUGAUCAGGUCAACAUUUAUGGACAAGUAGCCGUUAAUUAUCCAGAAAGCUAGGUAGUCAGUGUGAAAUCAAAUCUUCUUUCUUCUCCCAUGCUAACAGCACACAUCUACCCCUCCUACACCAUUGUACACACUUAGAUGCAGUAACAGAAGCAUGUUACUCUGUUUAGAGAUUAUUCAUAAUUUCAGAGGAUUAUUUUAGUUCUUAAAGGAGUAUUAACUGCUUUGGCCAGUCUGACCAUAGGAGUCCUACCUAAAGGUGACUGCAGUGGAGUGAAUUCCUUUCCUUACCUACAAUGGGCUUUGGAUCAGAUGCAGAUCAGAAAUUUUACAUCAGGCAUCUUUUCACCCUGCUGACAGAUUUCACCAAAUUUGGCAGAAUGCCACUUGCAUCUAUUGAAGUACUACUAAUAACAAGCCAGGUGUAACGUACUAGGCACAUAGCUUGGAUGGAUGACACAGGGUUGCUCAGCAGCAUCUGUCUAAAGAUCUAUCACAUGGAAAAAAGAAAGCAUGAUUUCUCAACAAUAUGUUUUAAAGAUACCUGAAAGGAACACUUGAGUGAGUGUAACUUCCUGGCAAAUUCUUCUAGCUUUUAGCCACAAAGAGACAAAAAUGGAAUAGAAAGAUGAGGAAAGCAGUGGACUUCUUGGCCAAAAAACCUUUCAAUGUGAAAGGUGCCUCAGCAGCAAAACAUUGGUUUGCACUGGGCAGAGCUAUGAAACAUUCACUAAAAAACAUAUAGCAGACUUAUAAGCCACGUACACAGUUCCUAAGCUUGCUUUGCUCUCCUGCUGUAUACCACACAAAAUUUUACUAAAAUAAUUACAUCAAGCUGAAUCAACACCUCUUUCUAAUUUGGUACAUGUCUCCAUGCAGAUAUUUUUGUUUUGGAUUAAGCGUCCUGUGUCAAUUUACUCUGUGUUGUGUUUCCCUCUAUUUCAGCACAGUUUAAUUCAACAGAACAAUAGAACACAUGCAAUUUCAAGACUGGCCUCAAAUAACUAUCAAACGAUUUGAAUAGAAGACAGUUUUGUUGUUUUGGUGAAAUUAUUUGCAUGGAUGCUUCUCAGCGUGGACAGCGAGGGUCUGAUCCAAAGUCCAUUGUACAUAAGGAAAGGAAUACAAUCUACUCCAGUCAGUUUUAGGUAGGACUCCCGCAGCCAAAUGGCCAAAGCACUUAAUACUCCUUCAAGAACCAUUGUAAUCCCUGACAUUUUGAAUAUAAAUUAAGAGUAAUGGUAAAUCAGGAUUUAGGCUGGUACUCCUCCAGCAGAAGUUCACUAGUGUGAAAUGACUACUGGGUGCUCCUAGGACUGCAGGUUUCACACACCCACCAGGUGCUGUUCAAGAAAAGUUACUGCAGGGUGGGGAGGUCCUACCUGGGCAAGGGAGACACAUACCUCUGUCCUUCCACCAGAAGGAGAGCUCUCCACUCAUGAGUGGGGGGGUCUGAGCUAAGGAGUGGUGCUUUCAUUCUCAGAAAUACAGUGUGAAUUUGGCUCCUGCAUCCUCUCCAACCACAGGAACAGAAACAAGCAUGUCAUGUUUGCACUUCUCCACGUUUCUGCACAUAUCUGGGCUAAACUCUGAUGCAUUUCCUUGAAGGUUUACAAUUCAUCUCAUAAUUCCUCCCAGAAAGUACAGAAUAUUAGUAGGAGUAGUUGUUGCAUUCAAGAAUUGACUAUAGCAUAAUAUUUUGGCUUUUGGGGGCGGAGGGGGGAAGAUGAGAUUGCUAGGAAUCAGUCUGGCGUCAGCCAUUAUUUUCCAAGUUGUGAGUUAAACCCUGAUCAUUAAAAGGUCUCUUGUGUAAAAUUAUAAGCCUUUACAUUUUAGCUGGACCCUAUUGAGAAAAAAUCUUUGACAGCCAUUCCUCAGGGGCUGUUAGUUUAUUUAGAAAGAAAAUGAGUCUCUUGAGAAAAACAGAGCAUUUAGUGAAUGAAAAAAAAAAAAAACGGAUGGGUUUGACCUCUUAAUGGUGGGCUUAUUUCUUUUGCAUCCUGUGAAGCUCACUUUAACUUGGUGGCAACUAUGACAGUAUUAUGAAAUAACAAAGUAGAUUUUGUAAUUUAGCUUGCUUCUUUACUUGUGGAUUAUAAAUAUAUACAUUUAUGCAUGGAAGUGCAUGUUGAAACAAACUACCACUGACAGAUAGUCUUAGUAUUAAAGGAUUUAAAUAAGACUAACAUUAUCCUUCAUAAUACCAGUAUGAGUUGUUCAUUAUGAGGUGAAAUUGUGUAAUGCUCUGUUAGUUCCUUACAGCUACUUAAUAAGCAUAAUUGAGGACAUUAGUCAUGUUCAUCUCUUUCUGGACAUUCUUGGCUUCCCUUUCUGCUACUUCCGAUGGUUCUUGAGGGUAAGUAAAGCUGUUUGUGAUCUAUUUAAAAUCACAUAAAUAUAUUUAAAAUUAGUAUAUGUGUAUAUAACAAUUUCUGGCUUUGUGAUGGAAGUUGAGGUGCUUGAUUUACUUAUCUUUAGUAUUAGGUGAUUCUUCUUAAUAAAUUUGAAUGUGGGUUUCAUGCUUGGUACAAAGUGUUACUUUAUGGAUGGUUGUUCUUUGUUAGUAAGUCUUCCAUGAUCUUGUCUAGGCAUUUGUACAACUUUCAGUGAAUAGGAGACCUGGUUCCUCUCUUUUUGUUUAUGUUUAUUGUAGAAAGAGGUAAAAAGAUAAGAAUGUUAUUGAGCUGAUGCAUUAAAAAAUUAUAUGGUUACACUUCAGACAUAAAUAAUAUAUCAUUGACCAAUUCAGAUGAGGCUGCAUUCACUCAUAAAGUUGAGGCUUGGGAAUAAAAUUGUGGGAGGUAGGCACUGAUACCACAUAGAAUGCUAUGAGGGUGCUCUGUAACAUGUUGCAUUAUAUACACCCUGAGAGUGCUUUUAAAAUCAAAACUAAAAUAACUAUUUCGUUCAAGCAUUUAAGAAUAGAGUUAGAAAAAAUUAUUCACAAACCUGAGCAAAUCUCUGUAAAAGCUCUUCAGAAUACCUUGCUAUAUCUCUUAUGAGUGAUGGAUAAAUAGAAGAAGAGACAUAUGUGGUCAUCAUAUAAAAAGUGCAAAAAGUAUAGCUAUAUUAAGAAACUCAUCAAGAAAACAUAAUAUAUUCAAGAACAAAUAUUGUUUGAUCAAAUGUGGCUAAAAACUUUGUGAUAAUGUUGGCUAGCAUACUUUCUACAACAAACUGAAUAUAUCUUUACAUCUGAUCUCUCAUAACUGUCAUUUUUGCCUUGCUGUCACAUCCAGUAUCUAAAUAUAUUAGGGUGAGCUAUGAAUUGGAAGAAAAUUUUUUCUAAUGAUACACUUAAAAUGACCUAGAGAGCAAACACUGGAAUAAAGAUAUUCUUCUGUGACAUUAACCUAAAAACACUAGCAUGUGACCUUUUGGGUCAUAUCUGAGUAGAUAAGACAAACGAGGAGAGGGAAAGUGGUUGAUAAUAGUUAAAUAAUAGAAAAUAAUUAGGAUCUGAAAGUGCAGAAAAAAUAAGAAGGGAAAAAAAAGAGGAUCUAGGAAAAAAUUAAUAGCUGCCCAAAUAAUGAUAAAAAAGGGUGCUUUUGAUCAGCUUAGGUCCAUUUCUAGGUGGAAAUUAGAGAUUUGUUACAAAUGCUGCAAUAAAAUAUCUUUCUGGAUAUUUUUUGUGGUGCUUUUGUUCACAUCCAGUUCUUGAAGGAAGCAGAGGAGGGAACAGACUGUGUAUUUUUUACAUUUUGAGUACUCUCAUAACCAGUUUACUGAGGGGGAACUCUUUUCAGGACCUGAAAUUCCAUGUUGGAAUUGAGGAUAUUUUUUCAAAAAAAAAAAAAAAAAGAGAGAGAGAGAGAGAGCGCGCAAUAGAUUGCAAUGUAUAGUUUCAGCUUUGGAAAAUUUAUAUUUCUUGGUAAAAUACUACUUUAAAAUACUUAAUCACAGUUCUCUCUCAGAGCAAAGAAAACUGGCAGUAUUUACAAAAUGCUCUGGGAAGACUUUGGAAACAAAUUUCUCUAAAAUACAAAGAACAGAAUCAUGUGGAACUUCUCUGUAGAACCUAAUCUGUGGAAUUUAUUCUCCUGUGUGGCUGAAAGAUUACAGCAAUUUAUGGACAAACAAGAAAAGGCGCAGUGUGGAAACAACGCUUUACAAGCCUGCCAGUGUUCACAAUUAGAUUUUGAAAUACUAGAGACAGUUCAGAAGAACUCCAUGGGAAUAAUUAAAGUUUCAGGAAAUUUUUCUAUAGCAAGUGCCUCAGGGAGCUCAAUCUUCUUAAUUUAUCAGAGAAAAAGUUGAUCUGAUUGUGACUAUCUAUAUAAUAAAAUGCUUCGCAGAUUGACGAGGCAGUAGCAUAUAAGAAGAUAUUGGAAGCUAAAACUAGACCAAGCCCGACUACAAAAAAAGACAAAUUUUUAGCAGCAAGGAAAAUUAAUCAUUAGAACAUCAUGUCAAAUUUGUGUUAGUUCAUUCAUCACUGAACACUUUAAAAUCAAGAUUGUUUGAGUUUCAUUUUUGUCUAAUGCUCCAGUUUGGCUACAAAAGCUUUAAGACAGAAAGUUUCAUAAAUUAGCUUAGCACGAUGGAUUUCAUAAUCGCUGUAUCUACUGCCACCCCCAACACAGCAUGAAGUUCAGAGAUAUAAUAUAAGUUUAAAAGAUAGACAUACAUCUACUUCAACAGUAAAUGUAAGUCAAAGCAUGGAAGUAGAUCACUAAAGAUUGAAGAGUAAGAUAAAUAGUUGUAUAGAUAUUCUGAUACUUGAGCGUGUCUAUUAUUAUAGCUUAUACUGCCUGUGACAAAGCUCUUGUGCAAAAUAUAAAAAAAAACUAUUAAAACCUUUUGAUACUCACUGCUGAAAUUGUUAUCACUGCAGUGAUAUAAAAUAAGAAGAAAUUACAAAAGCAAUUGAUGAAAAACAGAAUUUGUCUUAAUCUACCAAUAUCAAUAUCUUUCUGGCUUAUGUUAUGUAUGCUUUGGACAGCAUUGUUGCAAUUCAUGAGAAAAGUAUAAAAAUAUUCGAAUAAAAAAUUAAUUCACAGAGUAGCCUUUAAAGCUUGGUAGAACUGAAAAAUUUUUUAUUACCUUUCCCCUUCCAAUUCCAAAAUAGAAACAUAAUAACUCAUUCAGGUGAAACACUGAUGUCUGUAUUUCAAAGCAUUUUCAAAGCAAAGAAAUAGUAUGAUUCUGUUAAAAAACUAAAUUUGGAAAAGACUGGCAAAAUACCUAUGGGGAGCAAUAAAUAAAUCCCCUACAUGGAUCUUCACAAUAUGCAUUUAUAACAAAUGGUUCUAUUUCAAGCCAAGUUCUGUUAAUUGCUUUUUCUUAGUAUCCAGACAUCAUGAUUUUUAACUCUCUCUCUGAGAUCUGGAGAACAAACAUUCAUCAGCUGCCCAAUUUGUUGUGAAAACAUUAGCUCUCAAGUGAAAUUUUAACAUUUCAAAAUGUCUCUUUCACAUUAGACUUGUUUUGCCACUGUUGUAAAAUGUGUAUUCCUAUGAAAGGACACAAAAGGAUCUCUCUGCUUAAAGUCAAAUGUUUUCUAAUUGCAAGAGAAAAGAACCUGAGAAGCAGAUUUCUAUCUAACGGAACAAAGCCUUGCUUAUGCUUUCUGUGGGGAGAAGAUAUUUUUGCUAUUGAGGUGCCGAUAAUAUUUUGCUUGAAAAUAAAUUGUUUACCAUAACUAUUCUAGAUGUUACAUUACUACGGCGAGAAUGCAUUUCCUUGAUAUCACCAUACUGUGUACUCAGACAUAGAGAUUUAGAACCAUCCUACAAAUAACAAUGGCAGUAGUUAAUGUCCUCAAGAAUAAUUCAUAAUUUUUGUUGAUCAUAGAAGAAUGACUCAUGUCCAGCUCAGUAGCGGCCAGAAAGCUUUUGUGAGAAUUAAUGGUUUUGAGGCUAAUUCCUAAAGGGUAGAUAACCACACAGAAAUCUCAUCAGCGGAGCAUCCUUGUGGAACAACCAUGGCACGAGCUACCAUACAGAGGAGGAAAACGAAGCUGUUUCUGUAACUUGGAGCUCUUAUCUAGCAUUUGUAAGUCAGUUCCAAAUCUCUCCAUAUGACUGUGGGCAGAUUGCCUAGGACCAGACUCAGGUUCUUAAAGAAGGUCUCAGGCAGAAAUUAAGUGCUAAGUAGAAAACUAUAAUUCAAAAUACCCUGACAACUCUACCAAACACUGCUAUUGAUAUUGCCUUAGCACCUGCUUCUGCUUUUGAACAUGCAGAGAAAUCCUUCAGCCAUGGUAGCACGGAGCUGCUCAGCACCUGGUUGGCGCGUAGUCCGGAUCGGAAAGAGGUGUUCCUCUCCCGCAGGGAGCUUUAAUACGAAGGCAUGAACACAGCCCUAUUUCUCACUUUAUAACAGCUCACAUUUGCGUAAUUACAGCACUCUCUGAGAGCUGAGAGCUGUGCGUCUGCAGUCCAUCAGGCAGGGUCCCUGAGCCCCCGUCCUCCACGUGCCUCCCACCUGCCCAGCCAUGAACUGGUUUGUUACCACCCACGGUGUCUGCCUCCUGCUCCAGUGUUUCUUUCCUCGGCACGCUCUUUUGGCACACUGUUCUCCUUCCAGUAGGCAGGUCUAAAACGAUCAGCCAGGUGCACUAUACACAGCCUCUCCUGCUCUCCAACGGUGACCGUAGGUGUCAGAUGCAGUGUUUUGGUGUCCUUUCUUCACUCCUGGUGCUCCUAAGGAGGUGAUCCAAGUUUCAGUGAACCCAGAUCUAACUUCCUUUUCUCCUUCUUCAAAUCUGAAGUAGUAAGACAGCACAAACUUAUAAGAAUAAAUGUAUUCAAGAGUUUUCAGGUUUCAGCUCUAUGGGAAUGGGCACAGAAGGCAAUAUGGUAUGGAACGGGCAGAAAAAUGAGCAGGUUAGAUAUGCUUUUGUCUCAUGUCAUAGUUGUAGUUGAGGUAUAAAAGUGAUCAUUUGUUUUUGCUAUUCUCUGACUAAAAUGGAGGAUAAAAAGGGAUAGAGAAAAGAUCCUUAAUUGGCAAAUCUCUUAUUAUAGAAAAAUAUAAUGUCUGGACAUAUGUUUACUGCUCAUAGGUACAGCUUCUUAAAAGAAGCAAGCAGAAAUUAUCAUAAGAAUGAGUAAAACAUAGAUUUGUUACUUUAAAUUUUGAAUAAAUAGUGCUCACAACUGAAUUAAAAUAAUUUAUUAAUUUAUUUUUAUUUUGAUAAUGUGAAUAAGCCUCUUGGGAUUUGUCCACUUUAUUUUAGACUUAAUUCUACCUAUUUCUGGGAGGAUUAUAUGGGUAUUUACUUGAAAUUUGUCCUGUAAAAACCAUGCGGAUACUUUUAUUUAACCUAUAUUGAAUGAAUGAUUUGCUUGCUGCAUAAACUACCUCUUCCUUUUUGGUUUCUUUUUACCUUUUUGCUUAUGAAUUGCAGGUUCCAUAUGCCUUCAGUGAAUCAUUCUGCCUUUGCUUAUUAUUUGUACCUUGAAAGAAUUUAUAGGCUGUGAUCAUGAACCCUGAGUUUUUCUUUUUAUUUCUGUACUGUGCUAAUUUAUCUUCCUUCAGUCAUUUCUAGAAACCUUGUAUUAUUUUUGUUGAGUGUCAUUCCUAUUCGUUCAGUUCUUACAUUUCCUUCCUAAAUUUACCACAGGACUCUAUCUGGGCAAUAUCCAUCUGAUUGUAAACCACUAAAAUAUGUGUUCUUCUCCAAGCCUCUUGUUUGGUUUGCCCAUCCCUAAAUUAAAGGUUUAAGGAGCAAAGCGAAAAAAAAAAAACAUUUCUGAAGUGGUACUUAUAAAAAACAGAUAAAAAUGCUUAAUAAAUGAUAAAAAGUAGAGCAACAUUCAUGAUGAAAGUUGAUUUUCACAAUGUUCUACUGCUAACACUGUGUAGUACAAAGGCUUUUUCAACAUGGCAUUAUGACUGCUAUAAUAAAAGAAAUUGCACAAACAGUUAUCUGUGAUGCAAUGGUGUGCCGCAUCUGUCCAACGCAAGAAUGAGUUUCCUGCAUCAGUACUGUUUAUUAGCAGAUAACAGUAUUAGAGGGCAAUUCUGUAAAUAGGAUAUCACCAUUUCCUGUCACACCAAAAUUAAAUCAGGGAGCAAGAAGAGUAUUUUUUUAAAAAUAAACCGCUUCAUUUUAUGCUGAUUUGUCUUCUUCUUGAUAUGUCUUCUAAUUAAAGCUGUGCCAGCUUUUGAGGAAACAACAGCAAAUGCACCCAGUUCAUUUCUUGUUACCUGAUCACACGUUACAUGGUGCCCAAUUACUAUGACCUAAAGAAAAACAAAAAAAACCCCACUAAUUAAAAAUGGUGAUAUCAGUAGGUUAGAAGUUCAUUGAUGGGUGAAUACUUCCUUCUCCUAAGACAUAUGACUUAGAAAAAGAUUUUUAGAAGGAAACAACAAAAGGGAAUUGAAGAAGAAACUAAAGAAAGACCACGAAAAGAGAAAGAAACAGAAAUUCUAAUAUUAGAGUUGGAAUAAAAGAUACUUCACAGAUUCAUAGAACGUGACUUUCUUCCAGUUUACAGUCCUUUUUGCUUCCUAUGAUAAGCCCUCAGGACCAUAUUACCAAAUCACAUAGGAACCAAAUUCAACAGAGCUGCUGGGCUCCCCUGAAACAUUCACCAAGGUCACUCCUAAAAGCAGAUGGAUUGAAAUAGGAGUGAAGGGUGAUGGGUUAAAACAGCCAGCUCAAACUCCCACAGCAAAAUUGUGGAACCAGCAUAAAAUUCAGCACUACUUGAAUUUGUUACUUACUUAAUUCACUUAUGGAUAUGUUUUGGCUGGUUCAUUUUACCCAGGGAAUGUUUUACAGCACAACUACUCAACCUCCAAAGGUUAACUACUCAAACUCCAGUAGUUACACUAGACAGUACAUACCUCAAGUAAGGUGCCAUCAGGCUCCUCUUUCCAUUAGGAGCUACUAAGUUCAUUAAGGGUCUGGAGCAUCUGACAUACGUGGAAAGGCUGAGACAGCUGGGACUGUUUAGCCUGGAGCUCCAGGGCAUCUUAUCAGUGUAUACAAAUAUCUGAAGGGAAGAUAUAAUGAAAACAGAGCCAGACUCUUUUCAGUGGCUCCCAGUGACAGGACAAGAGGCAACGGGCACAAACUGAAACACAGGAAGCUUCGUCUGAACAUGAGGAAAAACUCCUUUACAGUGAAGGUGACUGAGCACUGGAACAGGUUGCCCAGAGAGGAGGUGGAGUCUCCAUCCUUGGAGAUAUUCAAAAGCCAUCUCAACAAGGUCCUAGACAACAUACUCUAGGUGACCCUGCUUGAGCAGGGGGGUCAGACUGGAUAAUCUCCAGAGGUCCCUUCCAACCUCAGCUAUUCUGUGACUCUGAGACUCAGUUCCUCUGCUGUGAUUCUGGUAUAGGCCUUCUCCCAUACUCAUUGACCAAUAUUUAGAUAAGUUGUGCAUCAAGGUAGAGAAGAAUUUUCCAUUUUGCAUAAUAUUUCCACAGUUAUGAUCAAGAAAAUAUUCCAGGUUCAAAGCCUUUCUGGGUUUGCUGGUGGAUUGUUGUCCCUUGGCUCUGGACCUCGGUCCAGCUUUAGGAGACAGUGCAGAUCUCAUUAUUUUCUAACCUUUCAGGAGAGAGGGACAUGACAAGAUUUUUGCUCAAGGGAAGACUGAAUAUAUUUUUGGAUCUAUCAGUUUUCUGCCUGGUUAACUCUGGCUAUGUAUGUGAAGGUAGGCUGGUGGAGUCACUGGAAUAUGUGUAUUUUUUUUGUGUGGAAUUGUCAAAAUCAAACAAAGCAAUGGGUAUGUGUUAUUUCCUUCUCUAUGUAAAUCAAAAAACUAAUCAGUUCAUGGUGCUACUCACUGCAUGCUUUGUAAUAAUAAGCAGCAUUUAAUGUUUUAUUUGCUUCGAAGAGUAACAUUGGGAACAACUACACAAAAUAAUCAUUCUUAGAGAGUCCCUUCAGCAAAAUAGAUAUUCUCAAAGUCUAAAAAUAACAGCAACACAAUUAAGAAGAAUCCCUCCAGUUUUAUUAUGCUGAAUCAUAACCUCAGAUGGCAUCCAAUUUUAAUCUUCUAUUUGUU